AAAAAUCCCACUAAUGUGUCGCAGGUGAAAACUUCCCUUAUCGAUAAAAGUUUUACAAGGUACUCAUUUCACAGGCAUUCAAAUCAAAACUGUCAAGUUCACUGUUGCACAACUUUUCAUGACCCGAAACCUGGAGACUUUGACUACAGGAUUGUUCCAUUCAGUUAUAAAGAUUUUCCAGUGCCCACACAGCGAAAGGCAAACAUCCCCGACUGACUUUUGCAUCAUUCCCUCCUUCUUAAACUCAAAAGCUAUCUUUAAUCUGUAGAAGAGAGAACUCUGAACCAUUCUUUAAUCUCGUACCAACUUCAGACAGCAGGUCAGCAUCUGUAGGGGCCGAGGAUUUAUCCUUCCAGUCGUGUCAUGUUGCAUUGGAAAGGAGGGGCCCAGUGUGAUGGAGCUACAGGUCACUGUUGGGCUACAGAUGAAGUCAGUGGCUUUCAUCAGACGUAAAGGCGGGGGUGUCUGUAAAUUAUGAAUGAAGAACCACUUUGUGGACGAAGGGGAUGAUGCAGAUUAUUCAUCCCUACUUCCUUCAGUGCAACUUCUCUGGUGGACGGGUUCUACUCCAGAGAGACGAGGGGGGACAGCGUUACUCAAUGGAGCAACACAAAUAGAUUAAAGGUGGCAGUAAAUUACUACUAUCCUUUUGUAUUUUAAAUCUCUUUUUUCAGUUUUGAACUGGUGAGGGUUUAUACUUGCUAUGUAGCUUUUGCAGCUGUCAGGUAUAUAAUUUACCAUUACGUUUUUAUGUAGCUGUAUUUUAUUUGUUUAUGUGUUGUUCAGUAUUCUUUGUUUUCAGUAUGUUCAAAAUCUUCUAAUGUUAAACUCUUUAGUCUAAUAGAAAGGAUCAGAAAUCAAUCAGCAACAAACUAAUCAGUAUUCACUGUAUAUUUUCUUAUUCACAUUUUUUUAUUUACUUAUAAAAAUUAAGAUUGACUUACCACCAAUCAAAAUAAAUACAUAUGAUCAAAACAAAAAGUAAACACAGCAACCUAUUUUGCUAACGAGUUAUAUUUCCUGAACUGAUGUUGCACUUUUCCAGUCCUACUGAUCACUGACUUCAGGCACAUUCAUCCAGCUGUGCUAACAAACACACACACAUUCACAGAUGUGUGGCCAACACCGGGGUUAAGUGUCUUGCCCAGGGGAACAUCGACAUGUGGCGGGAAGAAAGUUGGACUUUAACCCACAGCUUUCUAAUUGCAAGACCACUCAGCCACAGGUCACACCACAGCAAUAAAAUAUGUAAAAAAAAAA